rnacentral:rRNA from 1 species
GGGAUGACGUCAAGUCCUCAUGGCCUUUAUGUCUAGGGCUACACACGUACUACAAUGGCAGGUACAAAGGGCAGCGACACAGCGAAUGUGAUGCGAAUCCCGAAAAGCCUGUCUCAGUCCGGAUCGGAGUCUGCAACUCGACUCCGUGAAGUUGGAAUCGCUAGUAAUCGUGGAUCAGCAUGCCACGGUGAAUACGUUCCCGGGCCUU